rnacentral:tRNA from 3 species
GUGGCCGUAGCUCAGCUGGCAGAGCGCCGCGUUGUGGUCGCGGAUGUCGCGGGUUCAAAUCCCGUCGGUCACCCCA